AGCAUGACUAUAAAUUCAAACCACGCUUAAUGUUCUGUUGAUAAAUGAGAUACAAACACUCUAUACUUUCUAAGAAACAAAAAAAUGACUGGUUUGUGGAUUUUAAGUUUGAUCUACAGCACCAUGUAUACAGUCCAACCUGGUAGACGCUGGGUUACUGCACAAUCCCCCACAGAGUCAACAGUUUAUCAGCCUGAUAAAGAGCUCAGUGUGGAUAUCGGAGACUCGGCUACUCUGCGGUGUUGUGUUUCUGAAAAAGUAGUUGGGAUGAUAGCCUGGUUUAAACAACCAAACAGAAAAAAACCUCUGAAUGUUGUCACAGUAUAUAAAAGUGGUAAAGAAACAUUUUACAGUGGUUUCCAAAAGUCUCAUUUCCGAAUAGAAAGAUCUUCAAACUGCUUCAAUAUGACCAUUUUAAACACCAUUCAGUCUGAUGAAGCCAUGUACUACUGUGCAGACAUAUUCCCAUAUACCGUGUUUGGAGAUGGAACUUAUUUAAACAUUAAAGGUGAGCAUGUUACUAUUGCAUCAGAAACAUCUAGACCAUGUGAUAAUUCAGUGGCGUGUGAACCAACACCGCAUGGAAACAGCACUAAUAUGAACAAACAAGAGAAAACAUGUAAGAUGUCUUAUAGUUCACCAUUAAUUAAUUAUCCUUAAUUCCUAAUACAUAAUUUGCCUAGAAAAUCAUUGUAAUGAUCAAUUAAUGUAAAUACAAUGUUGUGAGAUAACAGUAUCAGAAAUGACCAGAUCUCUACAUUCGACAGUGCUCGGUUUGGGAACGGCUUUAGGCUUGUGUGCACUUCUGAUUUUCUGGCUCACUUAUUUCAUACU